rnacentral:ncRNA from 1 species
CCUGGGAACUACGAGCACAAACGCUUAAAACCCUAAGGACUUGGCGGUGCCUCAAAUCCACCUAGAGGAGCCUGUUCUGUAAUCGAUAACCCACGAUGCACCUAACCCCUUCUUGCCAAACAGCCUACAUACCGCCGUCUCCAGCUCGCCCUCCCUGAAGGUCUAACAGCGAGCACAAUAGCCUUGAAUCAUCGCUAGUAAGACAGGUCAAGGUAUAGCUAAUGAAGGGGAAGAAAUGGGCUACAUUCUCUAAAAUAGAGAAAUUUUUUAUUAGACGAAAGGGGGCGUGAAAUCGCCCCUUGAAGGCGGAUUUAGCAGUAAAAGGAGAUAAGAAAGCUCCAUUUAAGCUGGCCCUGAGGCACGUACAUACCGCCCGUCACCCUCCUCACAGGCUAUCAAAUUAGACUAUAACUAAUUCACCAUUAAAGCCAAAGAUGAGGUAAGUCGUAACAAGGUAAGUGUACCGGAAGGUGCACUUAGCAUACCAAGGCG